rnacentral:rRNA from 1 species
GUCUUUUUGAUUAUAAUUUAAGGUCUGGCCUGCCCAAUGAUUAAUUAAAUGGCUGCAGUAUUUUGACUGUACAAAGGUAGCAUAAUCAUUAGUUUCUUAAUUGGAAGCUUGUAUGAAUGGCUUGAUGAAAAAUUAGCUGUCUCAAUUUAAUUUUAUUAGAAUUUUAAUUUUAAGUGAAAAAGCUUAAAUUUUAUAGAAAGACGAGAAGACCCUAUAGAGUUUUAUAUUAAUUUUACUAGAUUUUUUGAUGAUUUAUUUAUUUUUUAGUUUAUUUAAUAUUUCGUUGGGGUGAUGUAAAAAUUUAAUUAACUUUUUAUUUUAUUUUACAUUAAUAAAUGAAUAUAUGAUCCUAUUUUAGAUUAAAAGAUUAAAUUACCUUAGGGAUAACAGCGUAAUUUUUUUUGAAAGUUCUUAUUGACAAAAAAGUUUGCGACCUCGAUGUUGGAUUAAAAUUAAUUUUGGGUGCAGAAGCUCAAAAAUUAGGUCUGUUCGACCUUUAAAAUUUUACA